rnacentral:lncRNA from 1 species
AUUUCUUCUUUUCUUCUUUUUUUUUUCAAAUAUUUCUAAUUUGAAAAGUAUUUUGGUGAGAUGGGUGAUUUGAGAUAGGGUGUGUUUUGUGAGUUUGUGUGUGGUUUGAAAAGGAAAGUUGUGGGUAUUUAUAGAAAAUAUAGGCUCGCUAAUUCCUCGUAACUGGUUAACUCGUUAAUUCCACGUAACCCAACUCGUCGUAAAAACGUCGUUAACGAAAACGCGGGCCUUUGUAUUUCGUCGCUAUUUCCUCGUAAAUGAAAACGCGGGCCUCUGUAAUUCCUCGUAAGUUUACGAGG